UUCCGGCGGGGAGCGCGGCGCGUGGGUCGGAAGCGCCGCGGCGGUGGCGGAGCGGAAAAUGGCGACGGCCGCGCAGCUCACGGAUGAGGAGCUCUUCUCGGAGCUGAGGCGUUUCGGCUUUUCCCCGGGGCCGGUCACCGAGAGCACCCGGCCCGUCUACCUGAAGAAGCUGAAGAAGCUGCGCGAGGAUGAGCGGGCCGGAGCCCGCGGCGGCGGCGCCAACAAGACCCGGAACAGCAACAACAAUAACACGGGGGCCGGAGCGGCGCCGGGCGGAGGCGGCGGCCGCGGGCGGGCGGCCACGGGAACGCGGCUGGCCGGCGCCGAACACCCCUUCCUCCCCGGGGCUGCCGCCGGGGGCGGCCGGGGCCGCGCCGCACCCCCCGCCGGCGGUGGCAAAGUGCUGCUGGGCUUCAGCUCGGACGAGUCGGACGCGGAGAGCAGCCCCCGGGGCCAGGCCGGCGGCAGGAGGGAGCGCGCUGCGCCCCUGUUCCGCGGCCUCAGGCCCGCCACCCCCCACGGCGUGAGCAGCAACUCCCCCCCGGAGGAGGCGGCCCGGCGGAAGCCCAGCUCCUGGUGGGGGGCAGCGGCCAGGAGACCGGCGGCGACUCAGGGCGUGAGGGAGCUCGGGGGCGGCGAGGAGGAGGGAGGAGAGGAGGAGGACGACGAAGACGAGAAGGAGGAGGAGAGCGAGCAACAGCGGUGGAAGAACCGGACCGUGAACGGGAACCGGCUCCUCUCCUACGGCGGCAGCAGGGACAAGUAUUCGGACUCGGAGGAGGAGGAGGCGGCGGGGGCGAGGGCCAAGCAGCAGGGACCGAAGGAGGAGUCUGCAGUUCGCCGGCCCAGACGGAGCCUCAGCAAGUCGCCUGCUCCAUUCAUAACAAGCAAAUGCGCUGCAGCCGGCGCUGGCGUGAUGGAGACGGGCCAAGAAAGGGCUGGCGGAGGCUGCGGUGCUGGUGUGCUCGUAACGAAUGACAGGGCGGCGGGGGCGGCUGCUGCCGGCAGUCUAGACAGGGGCAGAAACGAGGAGGAGGAGAAUGAGGCGGCAGCGGAGGGAAGAGGAGGAUGUGAAAAUCUGGACUCUAGUCCUCCCAGCCCCAGAUACCGCCUAUCCAAGAAAUCCCCAUCAGUAUUGUUGCUGCCACCACCGCUCACGGACGUGGACAGCGGUAAAAUCACUGACCCCGCAGGCACCAUUAGGAAAGCGACCAAUAAUCAUGUUCUCAGCGGUGCUCCUGGUAGCUAUAAUGUUGAAUCCAAGAUCUAUUCAGCUACUAAUAGCCUUCCCCCGAGUGGAACCACCUCCUCCCUUAGACUCAACCACUCCAAUCAUACGGGUUCAAAUCAUACCUACCUGAAAAACGCCUACAAGAAGAAUCUCUCUGAGCCCGAGGAGGAGCUUCUCCAGCAGUUCAAAAGAGAGGAGGUAUCCACCACUGGAGGCUUCAGUGCACAUUACCUGUCCAUGUUCCUCUUAACUGCUGCAUGCUUGUUCUUUCUGAUACUGGGAUUCACAUACCUGAGAAUGAGAGGUUCUGGAGUAGCUGAGGAUGUGGGAGCCAACAUCAAGAAUCCUUUUAGUGAAGAACUACAGAAAAUACAAGAACCUGAAAGAAACCUCAUGAAGAGCUUGUAUGCGCUUCAUGACAAAUUGGCACAAGUAGCAGGGGAACAUGAAUGUGGCAGCUCUGUUCAAAGAAACCUUACCGUCCAGGAGGCAGCUGCAUAUUUAAAAAAUUUAGAUCCAGAAUAUGAAAGUGUACUUAACAAAGCAUUACAAUGGAUCUUGAAUAGUGGGGAAGAUGUUGGCAUAAAGUGUCUCAGCAAUGACCCUAAUGAGAUGAAUGUCACUAACGUGACAGAUGUGAAGUAUCUGGAAUCCACUAGUCCAAAGAUGUCUUUCAGGUGUCGUUUUCGCCGUGCGUUUGUUAAUGUAACUCACAGAUUAUCAAUAUUGCUCCUGGGUAUAGUGAUGGUUUGGGGAGUCUUACACUACAUGAAGUACCGUUGGGCAAAAGAGGAAGAAGAAACGAAGCAGAUGUAUGAUAUGGUGGUAAAAAUCAUAGAUGUUCUAAGAAGCCACAGUGAGGCAUGUUCAGAAAAUAAAGAGUUGCAGCCUUACAUGCCAGUUUUACAUGUGCGUGAUUCUCUAAUACCUCCUCAGGACAGGAGGAAAAUGAAUAAAGUCUGGAAUCGAGCAGUUGACUUUCUUGCAGCAAAUGAAUCUAGAGUUCGCACAGAGACACGAAGAAUAGGUGGUGCCGAGUUCUUGGUUUGGAAGUGGAUGCAACCUUCUGCAGCAUGUGACAAAAUUUUAGUAAUACCAUCAAAAGUGUGGCAAGGCCAAGGUCCAGGUCCAUGACUAGGCCACCCCAGAUCACCUUCUCCACUAUGGUGUGGUGCCCCAGUGUACAAUAUGCUGGUGACAUUUCACCCCCCCCCUUGAUCUGCUGGAGCCAAACUACAUGAGUAAGCAUUUCAUUUAGAUAGAAGAAACUCACCACCGAACAGCUUGACACCAUGUCUAAAGAUUCGCAAUAUGUUUGAUCCAGUUAUGGAAAUAGGUGAUCACUGGCAUCUAGCAAUUCAAGAAGCAAUCUUGGAGAAAUGCAGCGAUAAUGAUGGAAUUGUUCAUAUUGCUGUUGACAAAAAUUCACGUGAGGGCUGUGUAUAUGUCAAGUGUCUCUCUCCGGAGUAUGCUGGAAAGGCUUUCAAGGCAUUACAUGGCUCUUGGUUUGAUGGAAAGCUGGUAACAGUAAAAUACCUGCGACUAGAUCGGUAUCAUCAUCGUUUUCCCCAGGCUCUUACUUGUAACACUCCACUGAAGCCAUCAAACAAACACAUGAACUCUAUGUCACAUCUGCGUCUUCGGACAGGCACAACUAAUUCUCAGGGAAGUUCCUGAGAAGACUUUCUACAACUGCUAGGACUGUUACUUGCAACAGGAAUUUUCCUGUUUGGCUGCCGUCUUCCUUUUUUAGUGCUUUUUGUAUGUAAUACUUCAAUGAAUUAAAUAAAAGUUUGAACGUUCCAGAAA